GACGAACGCUGGCGGCGUGCUUAACACAUGCAAGUCGAACGGAAAGGCCCUGCUUUUGUGGGGUGCUCGAGUGGCGAACGGGUGAGUAACACGUGUGUAACCUGCCCUUGACUUUGGGAUAACUUCAGGAAACUGGGGCUACUACCGGAUAGGAGCCCCUGUUGCAUGGUGGGGGUUGGAAAGUUUCGGCGGUUGGGGAUGGACUCGCGGCUUAUCAGCUUGUUGGUGGGGUAGUGGCUUACCAAGGCAUUGACGGGUAGCCGGCCUGAGAGGGUGGCCGGCCACAUUGGGACUGAGAUACGGACCAGACUCCAACGGGGGGCAGCAGUGGGGAAUAUUGCACAAUGGGCGGAAGCGUGAUGCAGCAGCGCCGCGGGCGGGAUGCCGGCCUUCGGGUUGUGAACCGCUUUCGCCUAUGACGAAGCGUGAGUGACGGUAAUGGGUGAAGAAGCACCGGCUAACUACGUG
rnacentral:rRNA from 1 species